AGUAAUGCAUAGGAAUUUGCCUUGAAGUGGGGGAUAGCCCGGAGAAAUCCGGAUUAAUACCGCAUGCGCUCUACGGAGCAAAGCGGGCCUCUUCUUGAAAGCUCGCGCUUUGAGAUAAGCCUAUGUCGGAUUAGCUUGUUGGUAGGGUAAUGGCCUACCAAGGCGACGAUCCGUAGCUGGUUUGAGAGGAUGAUCAGCCACACUGGGACUGAGACACGGCCCAG
rnacentral:rRNA from 1 species